rnacentral:misc_RNA from 1 species
CAGGAUGAUUCAUGUUGAUGGUUAUUUGAAGUCAGAGUAUAUCAUAAUUCAUUUAUUUUAGCCAAUAGGGCCAGGAGGAGCCACCUAGACGGCGCUGGUUAGCCGGUGAGCCGGUGAGAAGAUGGCGGGCCCUGAGCCAGUCACCCGGCUCUCCCAGCUCCAGGAGCAGGACGAGGUAGAGCUCAUCUCGGUUAGCUCGGGACCGGAGCUCACCGCCGUGCGCCAGGGCGACGGCAAACACCCACCACAGUACCGACCGGACCAAUAUUUCCGCGAUGGCGUUCGGAAGGUGGACUUUGUUCUGGUCCGAUCGUCGGACCUGCCGCCCUCGCACCACGCACACGACGCGAGACAGGAGAUCUUCGAGUCCAACCUCAGGAAAGAGGGUCUGGAUCUGGAGGAGGACCAGAUUGACGAGAACAGCCCGCUGACGUUCAUCAAAAUCCACACGCCCUGGGAGGUGCUCAGACGCUACGCAGAAAUCCUCAAAAUCCGAAUGCCGAUGAAACUGCCGGCUGGAAUAAGCAAGGAUGAAGCUUUCAUCAAGCAGGUUCCCGUGAUUCGGGAGAUCACAGAUCUGGUGGACACGUUUGAUAACAGCAUGUUCGGGGUGAACCCCAAGAAGUUUCCGCCCAAGAACCAGACCCUGACCGGCGUCUACAGCAGGGACCGCGAGUACCUCUUCGACAUGUCGGCCGGUUUCUUCACGCCGGCGGUGAGAGCCCGCGUGGUCGCCUUCAUCUUACAGAGAAAGUGGUUCGUCGAGCACGACCCCGAACAUGAGACGGUGAUGGACUUUGGCAUCAACAGACUGCUGGCCGACAAGACCUACCUGGCCAGCUAUGCGCCGCACGAGGGCCCUCUGGACUCGAAGGACAACGCGCGCUCCAAGCUCCGCUCCGAGUGGGCCAGCCUGCGCAAGUUUUACAGGCACCAGCCGCUCGACUACGUGCAAGAGUACUUUGGCGUCAAGAUCGCCAUGUACUUCGCCUGGCUGGGCUUCUACACGUACGCGCUGAUCCCUCCGGCCAUCGUGGGCAUCAUCUGCUUCGUCUACGGCUUCGCCACGCUCUGGGACGACAUUCCCAGUAACGACAUCUGCAAGGACACUGAGGUGUGGAUGUGCCCGAUCUGUGACGUGUUCUGCGACUUCUACCGGCUCAACGAGACAUGCGUCUACGCCAAGUUUACCUACAUCGUCGACAAUCCGUCCACCAUCUUCUUUGCAAUAUUCAUGUCGUUUUGGGCGGCGCUGUUCUUGGAGCUGUGGAAGCGUUACUCUGCCGAGAUCACCCACCGCUGGGAUCUCUCCGGGUUUGAUCUCAAAGAGGAACACCCGAGACCGGAGUACCUGAGCAAACUCAAGGACCAGCGUCAGGAGGUGAACAUCGUAACGAAGCAGCUGGAGCCGCACGUCAGUUUCUGGAAGAUGCGCCUACCCAGAAUGCUCAUCAGCGCCUCCAUCAUUUUGCUGCUGAUUGUGGUGGCGAUCGCCAUCAUCGUCGGCGUGGUGCUGUACCGGCUGUCAGUGAUGGCCGCCCUGGGGGCUCUCACCUACUGGAACAGCGGCUACGACCAUAAGGUCUACGUGGAGACGUACGGACCCAUCUUCGUCAACGCCACGGCGGCCACCAUCAACCUGCUGAUCGUGCUGCUGCUCAACCAGGUGUACAACCGCAUCGCCGGCUUCCUAACCGACUUGGAGCUGCCGAGAACGCAGUCCGAAUACGACGACAGCCUCACGCUGAAGAUCUACAUGCUGCAGUUCAUCAACUACUACUCCUCCAUCUUCUACAUCGCCUUCUUCAAGGGAAAGUUCCACGGCUACCCGGGCGACUACAACCGGAUCUUCCGCUACAGACAGGAGGAGUGUGGACCCGGGGGCUGCCUAUGGGAGCUCUCGCUACAGCUGGCUAUUAUCAUGGUUGGCAAACAGGCGCUUCUCACCAUCUGGGAAAACAUCCUACCGAAGCUGUUUUCGUGGCUGAGCGGCCUCAGUAAGCUGCUGUACGACAGUGAGGAAGACAAGAAGGAGCUGCCUCAGUGGGCGGCCGAUUUCACGCUGCUCAGCUGGGGAACCCAGAGCCUGUUUUGGGAGUACCUGGAAAUGGUGAUCCAGUUCGGCCUGGUGACCAUCUUCGUGGCGUCAUUCCCGCUCGCUCCGCUGUUCGCCAUCCUCAACAAUGUGCUGGAGAUGCGGCUGGAUGCGCGCAAGCUGCUUACCUUCUAUCGGAGACCGGUCGGACAGCGAGUCAGGGAUAUCGGCAUCUGGUACCGCAUCCUCAACACUGUCGGACGGCUGGCCGUACUGAGUAAUGCGUGUAUCAUCGGCUUCACGUCAAAUCUGAUCCCGCGCCUGGUGUACCGUCUCACGGUCAGCCGGAACAACACGCUGGACGGCUUCAUCGACAACAGCCUGUCCGUGUUCAACGUGGCCAACUUCAGCUCCGAGUUCCGGCCCAAAGACCAAUCGGCAGAUAUCGAGGUUUGCAGGUACCUGGACUACCGUAACGGACCGGAUGACCCCGAUCCGUACCAGCCUUCGACGCUCUACUGGCACGUGCUGGCCGCGCGACUCAUGUUCGUUCUCGUCUUCCAGAACGUGGUGUACGUGAUAAUGCAGCUGGUGUUUUGGAUCACGCCGGAUAUUCCGCGGAAGCUCAAGGAGCGCAUCCAGCAGGAGAAUUACCUGGUGCAGGAGAUGAUAGUCGAGAUGGAGCUGUUCCGUUCGCGCGGCGAGGACCCCAGCAGCGUGGGAGAGACGCUUCUGCACCGUAUCAUCGGCGACCCCGAGCAAUUGGAGGCGAUGAGCUCACGCCCCGACGGCGUCACCCGAAGAAAUCGCCAGCGCGAUCCCUUCCCGAAGUCCAGUGACCAAAUCAUCGGCUCCGGCAGCCAUCUUCACGCCUGCGUCUAGGGCGACAUCUACCGGUGAUCCGAUAGCAGUGACAUCUGCAGGCCGGCCCGGCAGCGCCACCUAUAACACUACACAGUCAUCGCACAUCCGGUUCUACAGAAAAGCUGUAUACUGGAGUCACUUUAGCGACUCUGUCACAAGCGUCGUUUCAAUAUGGUCUGGGUUCCGCUAUAUCCGAUGCCGCUGCGUUUGAUCUGUUUGGUGUGAGGCUAGCAGGUAUUCGAAUGUCGCGUCUCGCUUGUGAAUGUCACUGACAGGGUGAUUUAGAUCCGGCUGGGGAAAGUUUGAGCCAUUUUCUGGCGAUAUUGGAUGCGCUAGAGCCAUCUUCCUGUCAUGUAAUUGAUCCAGAUCUAUCGGCGCAGCCAACUUGUGGCUAUCGUCUGUUGUAUUGUGUUCGUGGCUCUCGUAUAGUGGUUCUCUCGUAUUGUGUAUGGUGUGAUUGCCAAAGUGCUCUGAACCUCUUCGGACCGAGUUUUUGGCUUUAUACGCGACCUGUGGGUCAUCGCUUGUCUGAUGCGACCGGAUCUACGACAACCCAGGUUCAGACUGGAGAUCGUGUUCAAUGAACCUUAACGACUUACCGCUGCUCAGGUGACUCGUAUAUUUUUUAAGGUAUUUUUCAUAUGCUUAGCCCGAAUUUAUAGUGUUUUGAGAGACUUACUUUGUAUUGUACAAACGCUACAUGACAUUUUGUCUGCUUGCUAUCGCGUACAAAACAACUAGCCCGGUUAGAUAUACUGGAUACGAUGCAUCUUAAUCGUGAAGUUAGUUACUAUUUCAUAUAAAUUUACUGCAGGCUAUGUGCGAAUGUUGCUCGAGUGAUUGCUUUUGUCGUGUCUGUGUUAUUGCUUUUUGGUGUGUCCGUCAGAAAAUCAAAAUACUCUGCUUUCUGUGUCAUGCUGCCUGUGCUUUUCAGUUCAGCUUUCACAAAGUGAUUCUGCUGCAAUAUGUGGUAAUCAUGAGCUACGAGUGUUGACGGAACAGAAAGUGCUUGCCAUGGUAGCUUAUUAGAGCUUUAGAGUCUGCCAAGGCUAUACUAUUUUUGACUGAGCUGUUUGAUUCGGACUUUCAGCUGACAUUGAACAAGAUCGCUCCCUGCUACACACCCAGAGUCAUUGUUGAUAUAUGGACGAAAAUUAUGUCCUAGUACGUAGGUGGCUCAUGUGAGACUUGCAUUUCGUCACUUGAGGUGCUUGUUACUUGCAACUGCUGCUAUGGUGUUGCUGAUGACUAUAGCAGGCGUAUACUUGUGAGCAAGCGCUUGAUGUGAAAAUACGCCUUUCUACGUUUUUUUUUUUUGUAAUUAAGGCGCAGCCUUUCUUUCUCAUGACUUGCUUUCACAUCGUGUCACGCUGGCAUGCAAGUGGGAUACUCUGCCAUUGCCAGCUACGCUGUUUCUCUAGGAGACUAAGGAUUGUAUUGUGCUCAAGAUAUUGUGUUGGUCUUAGUUUUAGCAUGGUUUAGUAUCGACUGUUAUAUAGUAGCAUUUUGUUGCUGCUCCCUCUUUAGAUAAGCAGAUCCUUAUGUUAUUGACCAAAAGCACGCAUUCUUUAAGUAAAGCUCUUCUUGUUUUUCCUCUCUUCACUGCAUGUCCUUGGUUUGCUGUGUCUUUGUGAACCAUUUCGCGCAACUACGCUCGAUUUGCGGCUGUACGCUGACGGAUAUAUGCGACAAUAAGUGGUAUUUACAAUUAUGUAUUGGUAUUAAAAUUAAUGGUAUUUACAGUUAGUACUUAGUGCAGCAGCGUGUGUCCGCCCACCGGUGACCUCAGAUGCGCCUUCCGUACACGGGUCAGCAGCGUGUCGCGCCGAGUUAGCGUGGGUACUCGCCCAGCGGGCCUCUCUCCGCUCCGUCGUGAGGCUGCCGCUAAUGUCGUGCCUAUAUACCUACGCACAACCUGUGCUGUCUUAUUUAGCCUACAGUGUAUAUCGUGGUGUGCGAAAUAUAGAAAUAUACAAACAGCCUGCUAUAA